CAACUGUACUGACGAUAUCCUCCAAACUACAGUCUGUGCCGAGUCCAACUGUACUGACGAUAUCCUCCAAACUACAGUCUGUUCUUCCAGAUUAAGAGAUGGCGUCUCAUUUUUCAAUGCCAUGCCCAAAUUAAGAGAUGGCAUCUCAUUUUUCACUGCCACGCCUAAAAUAAGUUAUGAUGUCUCAUUUUUAACUGCCAUACCCAAAUUUUGUGAUGACAUCUUGCUUUUCACUUCUACGUCCAAUUUAAGUAGUGAGGCCUUUCCAUCUUUUUUCCCAGUGAUGUCCAAAUUUAGUGAUGAUGUCGCUCCAGUUCUAGGUUAUGUCACGUCUGACUGCAGAGAUGAAGCUCUCCAAGCUUCAGUCUGUUCUGUAGCUGACUUGAGUGUCGGUGUCCCUCAGUCUCCACUCCACAAAACAUUCGACUGUAGAGACAAUGUCCCCCAAGCUACAACCUGUGCAACACCUGACUGUAGUGUUUAUGCUCCCCAAACUCCGUCAAGCCAGUUACAGGAUGAUGAGACAACAAUUAUUGACAUCAAUUCACACCGUUAUGAAAUCGGCUGUCAGUUGGGUAAAGGAGGCUUUGGAAUCGUGUACGCAGCAACUCGUUUGAAUGAUGGCCUACAGGUGGCAAUAAAAUUGGCAUCCAACAAGAUCACAAAGUUCAUCAGCAUUGAUGGUUAUUCUGGACGUCUUCCUCUGGAGGUUGCUUUGCAAAUUCUUGCAAAUAAAGGCCCCAGGGUGGAGGAAAUCGUUCAGCUUCUGGACUGGCGGCUGGAUCCUGACUAUUACUUUAUGGUCCUAGAGCGGCCCGUGCCCUGUCAGUCCUUGUUUCAGUAUUUAAAGAGCUACAAGGGCAUCAUGGACGAAGACUUUGCUCGAGUUAUAAUGAACCAGGCAAUAUUUGCGGCUCGGAUGUGCUGCCUUCGUGGAGUGUUGCACCGGGACAUAAAGCUGGAAAACCUUCUGAUCAACCCGGACACACUCGAAGUCAAAUUGAUUGACUUUGGCUGUGGUGCAAUCCUCACCGACGGGGGUUACACGUCCUUUACUGGCACAAGAGAGUACUGCCCUCCUGAGUAUCACAUGACCGGCCAGUACCACGGGGAACCAGCGACAGUGUGGUCACUCGGGAUCCUCUUGUUUGUGAUUCUUUUCAGUAAAUAUCCAAAGAGACGACACCUGCACGAGAUUAACGAUAAAAACUGGACUAAAGCUGGCCUGUCGAAAGAAUGCUGCGAUUUAAUUCGCCGGUGUCUACAGAUCGACCCAAAGCAGCGGAUUGAACUGGGGAAACUCAGUCUCCACGACUGGCUUAUGACUGCAGACAAGGAGAAUAACAACGACACAAUAAUGGACAUCAAUUCAUGCCGUUAUGAAAUCGUCUGUCAGCUGGGUGAUGGAGGCUUCGGAACCGUUUAUGCAGCGACUCGUUUGGACGACGGCCUACAGGUGGCGAUAAAAGUCGUCUCCAGCAGGAACAGAAAGUUCAUCAGUAUUGACGGUUGUUCCAAGCCUCUUCCUCUGGAGGUUGCUUUGCAAAUCCUUGCAGACGGAGACCCCAGGGUCGAGGAAAUCAUCCAGCUUCUGGACUGGCGGGUGGAGUCUGACCACUACAUUUUGGUGCUAGAGCGUCCCGUUCCCUUUGAGGAACUGAACUGGUUUCUCCUGCAGCAAAUGGGUACCAUUCAAGAGGACAUGGCACGAGUUAUAAUGCGCCAGGCAACAUUCGCAGCUCAAACAUGCUGCAGACGUGGAGUGUUUCAUCAGGACAUAAAGCUGGAAAAGCUUCUGAUCAACCCGGACACACUCAAAGUCAAGUUAACUGACUUUGGGUGUGGUGACUUCCUCAGCUGUGUGGGUUACACGUCCUUUGUUGGCACAAGAGAGUACUGCCCUCCUGAGUAUCACAUGACCGGCCAGUACCACGGGGAACCAGCGACAGUGUGGUCACUCGGGAUCCUCUUGUUUCUUAUGCUGUGUGGGGAUUUUCCAAAUACACCAGACCUGCACAUGAUCGACGGUCACAACUGGACCAAAGAUGGCUUGUCGGAAGAAUGCAGCGAUUUUAUUUGCUGCUGUCUGCAAAUCAAUCCAAAAGAGCGGAUUGAACUGGAGAAACUUAGUCUCCACGACUGGUUUAUGGAUUGCUGAAAUGAGGGGAGCAAAAGAAAAUAGUAAUUCUGUCAAUUAUCGCCAGGAUCAACUGGAAGUUCCUUGUGAAGAACAGAGGACACGUUGUGUACGAAUGUGCAAUUAGAAGAAAAUUUGAAUAUGAAAGUUCAGAAUAUGUUUUUCAGCCAUUUUGACAGCCCUACAACUUCCCCUUUAUUUGCAUCUGGAGGUGAGCUGAACGCCCAAUGUGCAAAGACUCCUAAAGAACCGGACAGCAGAUCUCCCUGUCCUCCGCAACGCCGGCCACUGCUCUCCUGAUUACAGGUCAGCACUGAGAGCAAACAGAAAAGCAGCACGUUAGAGAAAGAAAACAGAACCAUAUGAAGUUUGAAUGUUUUAAGAAAAUCACUAACUGUUCUUUCCGUCAGUAAUAAUGUCCUCCUCCCCUUUUAAAACCAAGGUAAAAUGGCCCAAGGCGAUGCUCAGUUUCUGAACACUUCUCUUGUAUUCAGAUAAAAAGCUGAGGAAGAGUGUGUGCAUAAAGGAGAAGAAAAGGCUCGUAGGGAGCUGAUCAAACAAUGAUCAAUAAGACCCAGGUUUCAUCCUCUAAUGCACAAUGAACUAAUGACAAAUGUCCAAGUGUCCGAUGUAUAAAACAGGUAUAUGCCACUACACUAUAUGCUUGGUUUAGAUGUUGUUGAGCAUCACUAGACAGUUACACCAUGAUUUAAUUAUCAUAUUGCUAAUGCAUAUAGGACAACAGCAUGAAAACAGUUGUUGUAGGUACAUUUUAAAAAUUUGCUAGGUUAGUCUGAGAGGUUGCUAAAUAUUGAAAAAAAAUUGCUAACACCAACAGAGAGUCCUUCUGGAGUUACACGUUCCCUUAUAUGGAUAGGAAAGAAAUGUAACCGUUAAUUAUAAAGUGUGAGUAAAAGGGAAACUUAGCUGUCUUGCUGAAUUGUUUCAGUUUCUCAUCCAUAAUAGCCCCAGUGCAGUGUGUAAAAGUGGAAAUUCAUUACAUCUGUUUGAGAGAUACACGGACAGAGAGUGAAGCCUUUAAGUAAUAUUAACAAUGAACACUUUAAAUCAUUUAUGAUUUUUGUUUACUCAGGGGUAUUGGUGUAUCAUUUGCCCAGAAUCAUUAAUGAGAUGCCUCACAGAGGUAAUGCUGCAUGUUCAGCUCCUUUACCCUCUGUUUACUUUCCUAAUCUGUCUGGAUGCCCCCCUUGGCAUGGGGCAGCAUUCAGUAUAAAUCAUCACAUGCAUGUAAUAGUUUGUAAAGCCAGAGACACACUGCAUGAUUUUCAGCUGUCCCAGACCAAAGAAUGGCAUCGUGAAACAAUCACGUCCACCACCAUUGUUUCAUGAUGCCUGUAUUUUAGACAGCUGAGAAUGUCUGUUCAUUUUUGUUCGGUCACAAGAUGCAUCUGCGAGUCUCCAUCGUUCUUCUAUUUGUUCUUCUCACUGGAGGUACAGAAAACAUACAGCAUAUUUAAAAUAUUUUCUGAUGUAAAUACAGACAUCACUGAAUGUCUCUCUGCUCUGUGUCUCUUUGUCAUUUAAGGUUUCUCUCUGGUCUGCUAUAAUUGCAUGGAUCAACUAGAAGGUCCUUGUAAAGAACAGAUGGCAUGUGACCAUGAACAAAGCAAGUGUGCAAGUAGAAUAACAUUAGAAAUUGAAAACACAGAACAAUAUUAGGAUUAUUAUUAUGAGAAUGGGAUGAGAUGUUUCACUUGUGACGAGGAGGACUGUUCACACACAGUGAGUUGUCAGGGAAAUGAAGACUACUGCUUCACUGCAUACAAAAAUCACUCUCAAUAUCAGCAUCAAUACCAACCACAGACUGUAAAAGGAUGUGCCUCUACAUAUAUCUGUUAUAAUGCAACAGAACAGUUAGAGCUGGGUGAAAACAUCAAAUGUUGUUCAGGGAAUCUGUGUAACGGUGUUCAGAACGUCUCUCAGAGCUUCCUGUUCCUCUGCUGUUCUCUGCUCUCCUUCAUCCUGCUGCACUGAAUCCAGCAGCAAAGACCCUUCACAUCAGCCACAAUCUAAUUAAUUACUUAAAAAAACAAACCAUUCAUUUUCUGAGAUCAGUUGGAUAUCUUUUAAUCCAUGAAAUAAAAACUAAAUACUGGGGGAGUUCUAGAACAAUACAAAUGUUGGAUUAUUUUUAUUUAACAAUAAAUAAAAAAAAAGAACAAGCAUGGUUCAUCAUCAUGUAUUACACAAACGAUGUGCACUAUGCAUAAUUAUAAUAUUAAAAUAAAUAAAUAAAUAAAACUCCAACAAAAAAUCAGCCAUAUGUUUCCAGACAUGAAGCCCCAGUGUUGCAUAAAAGGUUUAGACUAGUUUUACAAUCAUUAUUUAUCCUCAUGCCAUGAAGAUUUGCUUUUGGUUGUUAAAUUAGAAAGAAGCAAGUCAAGAUUUUUUCCUUGCAAGACAGAAAAGCCCACUAUUCUCAGCAAGACACUGUGCAAACUUUAAAAAUAUAUACAAGACAAUACACAGAGACACUUGCAUGACCAUAAAUCCGCUGCUGCUUGUGCAAAAUCAUUAUAGUAAACAUUACAGUGUUUGGAGCUACAAAGGCACUUCUGUUUGAAUGAUAUAUCUAAAAGUGUGUGUAAAUCUCAAAUUGCAUUUACUCAUUUGUCAUGCCUUCUCCACAUUUUUUAACACAAAUUUGACAAGACUCACUCUUUAUUCAGGAAAAUGCAGCUGCUCCCAUGAAUAACUUUGAUCUUCUUGCAUAUUACUUAGUAAUUCCUAUUUUAUAUCCUAUUUUAUUCCUGUUUUAUCCCUUGCUUUCACAAUGUGCAAUCCACCCUAUCUGCUCUAAACAGAUUCGAAAAUUACUAAUAUCACAGAAUUUAUGAUGGAUAGUAUGUACAUUGCACAGGCCUUGUUUUUCUUCAAGCCAUGAGAAAUUAGAUGUCCUGUGUAUCCAGCAGGGGGCAACGGCUGAUCAUUGUAUCUAUUCAUUUAAUCCAAUAGUGACCGUAAAAGGGAAAAAACUUCCUGCAAAUAUGGAAAAGAUAAACAAAUAUGUGCAGUUUGACGUGAUUAGUGCAAUUUGUCACAUGACCAGAGCAGUUUAUGAUGAUGAUUGCUGCAUCAAAGCUCUAAAAUGAAAGGCUAGUAAAGUAUGUUAACAUAAUGAUAUGGCAAAGAUUUUUUUUCUACACACUGUGUUUAAGCUGGCUAGUAUUAAUAAAUGAAUUAAUAUAUAUUCAGUUUUGUUGAGUGGUCAUUGAAUGAGUAAACAUCUUGAUGGGAGAACAGUCAACAAUAUAAAUCCAGUUGUAGCUGUUAGUGAAAACUAAAAGUUCAAACGUUACAA